GAUAGGUAUAAAAAGUUAUUAGAUAAAUAUAGUGCCCUAAAAAAAGAAACUAAAAAAUAUAAAAAAAUAUUCCAUCUAGAUGCUGAAUCAUUAGUUGGUAAGAAUAUUAUCUAGAAUAAAAGAUAAAUAUUUUGGGGGUGUUAACUCGAAAUUGAUGUGGUGUAUAAGUAUUGUUGUGUGGUUUUGUAUUUUAGAUUUAGCUAGGGCAGGUUUUCUUUUCAUUAUAUAUCUCUUAUGUAAUUGUAAUACAUUUUAGUUUACUCAGUAAUAUUUGCUUAUAUUUUGGCAAUGGAUAUAUAUAAUGUUAAUUUGAUUAAUAUAUUUUUUUUGGCCA
rnacentral:lncRNA from 1 species